GUCUACAGCCAUACCACCCUGAACACUCCCGAUCUCGUCUGAUCUUGGAAGCUAAGCAGGGUCAGGCCUGGUUAGUACUUGGAUAGGAGACCUAGAGGGAAUUGUGGAGACC
rnacentral:rRNA from 1 species